rnacentral:lncRNA from 1 species
AAGCAUGAUAAAUUAUAUAGUUUAGCGUUACUGCUAACGGAGGCCACAUGUCACCCCUCAGGCCCACAAAUGACACUGUAAAUUGUUGUUAAAAUGGAAAUCUGCCUCUGUCCUCAGUCAGACAUCUCUCCUUGGCUAAACCUAACGUUACCUGCUGGCCAUUACUCACAAGACAAAACCGUUCUCUGCUUGGUUAGAGAGAGAGAAAUGCUAAUGGAGGACAGAGGCAGUCACAAUGAUAAAAACAUUUAAUUUAAUUUGAAUAAGGUACCAGAGUCAGAGUACAUACUGUAAAAUAGCAUAAAAUGUAUCUCUCUUUGUUUCCUUUGCCAAUCUCAAACCUGCUUUGACUGCUAAGCAUAUAAGCAUUAAAAGCAAUUGAAAUAUAAUGUUGCUAAUAUUUUGCUAAUGUCUAUUCAGGCUCCCAUCACUUACAAUUACACACCGGGGCCAGCCACACCCACCACCUCCACUGGGACAUCAUACCGCUCGGGCUCCAGCAGCAGCGCUACCACACCUUUACCAGCAACAGACUUCGCUCCAGUGACCUGUCUGUCAAAUGACUACCAAGGAAGACAUCAGAUUUCCAAAGAGGAGCUUGAACAUGUUCUUUCACUGAAAAACACCUUUACCGAAGCGGCAUCUAUUCAUACUUUCUACAAGUUACUUCAAGACUGUAAUAUCCCAACAUAAAAAUUUAAGAGCAUCAGUGAUCAACAGUUGGAUCUUGAAGUGUCACAAAUAAAAACUCAACACCCAAAUGUUGGAGAAGUGAUGGUUAUGGGGCAUCUCCAUUCCAAA